AUUGAACGCUGGCGGCAGGCCUAACACAUGCAAGUCGAGCGGAUCGGCGGACGGGUGCGUAAUGCCUAGGAAUCUGCCUGGUAGUGGGGGAUAACGUCCGGAAACGGGCGCUAAUACCGCAUACUAUCAGAUGAGCCUAGGUCGGAUUAGCUAGUGGGUGGGGUAAAGGCCUACCAAGGCGACGAUCCGUAACUGGUCUGAGAGGAUGAUCAGUCACACUGGGACUGAGACACGGUCCAGACUCCUACGGGAGGCAGCAGUGGGGAAUAUUGCACAAUGGGCGAAAGCCUGAUGCAGCCAUGCCGCGUGUGUGAAGAAGGUCUUAGGGUUGUAAAGUACUUUCAGCGGGGAGGCGUUACCCACAGAAUAAGCACCGGCUAACUCCGUGCCAGCAGCCGCGGUAAUUC
rnacentral:rRNA from 1 species